UAAUAACUAACCAAGUAUGGCGUCCUCGCAAAAUUAACCCAAAAAUAAUUCACUUGCAUUUUCACGGGUCUAACUAAAUCUCUUUAUUGUGUGAAUGACGAAGUUAAUCUGAACGGUGAAGUGAAUUGUGCUGAUUUAAAGAGCUUCGAAAACUUGGCCAGAGACUUUAUUGAAAGGGAACAACGAACGGGGUGAGGGGAAAAUCCCAACAUGGAUUCCGCAACAUUCCACCGCUGAGCCAGUGCAGUUACUUUGCAGAACUUCUUGAAGUACAAGACAAACAAAGCACGAUUUAAUCAGAUUCAGAUUAUGACAGGAGCAUAAAUAAAAUAACAACAUUUGACGUUUGAUAAAAUAGAUCCUGAAGGUGGCCACAUAUUUAAAAGCCAUUUCGGCCAAACAGCGGAGAAAUACAUUACUUGUGUGGGAUGCAUAGGAUGACACAAACAAGCAACACCCUUGGAUGUCCGCUAGCAAAAGCUUCCAUUUUGAAUGUCUCACUAAAUUCGGCAAAACCAACUCAACGUCAGCUACAUCAACAGGUCGACAAUCAAUCCACAUUGACAUAUAUUUCCAGCAAACUAGACACAUUUCAUUCUGUUGUCCUCUCUUUGUCCAUCCACCUCUCAUCCUAUCUCCAUAUCGCUCUUUCAUUUGAAGAGCUCUUCAGCAUACCCCAAGCCCUUCACAGAGGAAGUAUGGUUGGAGAGAUGAGAAGAGAGGGAGCGGGAGAGGAGAAGCGAGAGUUGAAGAAGAAGAAGAAGAAUAGAGGAAAAGAGUCAGGGAUGUGUGUGCAUUCAUGUGUAUGAGUGUGUGCAGUUGCUCUAUGAUGACCCAAGUAGAGGAGAUUACAUUUUCAGUGAAAUCUACAGCACAGUACAUUCUGAACACUGAUAAACACACACAGUGCCUCCCUCCAACCCUCCACCCCUCUCCCCCACCUCUGUCCUCCUCCCUCUCGCCGGCUGUCCCUCUUCUGUUUAUCAUUCACCUCUCUCUCCCUCCUCGCUCUUUUCUAUUCACUCUUUCCCAUGCCCUCCACUUCUCUCUCUCCAUCUUCA